UCCUUCGAGUUUUCCUUCUCAUUUCUCAGCCACAUUUUAGUUUUUCACCCUUUUUCAUCUCCUCUCUUUCUUCUUCGAUCUGCAGCUUUCAAGAACCCUAGCUCUACUGAAAUAGAAGAAAACGCUUUAUUCUCUCCGCCUCUCGUCUCUCUUUUUCGACCUCAGAAGAAAAGAAACCCUAAACUUAUUCGAACCUAAUCUCAUAUCUGCAAAUUCAUUUUACAGAAAUUAAAUCUCUCCGAAUAAUCUGAUUUCGCCAACCCUAGAAAUUAGAUUUUGAGAGACGAAGAAACCCUAGAAAGUUAUUUUGCAAUUUCUGAGAAGAAAACAGUUGGGAUUUCUACCUUUAAAGAUGCACAAGGGAAACGAAGUCUACAAUAGCGGAGAAGCAUCAAGCUUCGAUCAACUGUAAUUGGUUUGAAGACUAAAGGAGAUGUGAUUUGGAGUUGUGAAGCGUAUCACUUCUCCAUUGCUGGCUUCUUCUUUGUUCUGUGGUUGAUUACUUAUAAAUGGACUUAUUCAUUUUUUCAAUUACCGGAAGUGAUUUGGAAUUGAAAUAGAUGCGAGAUUCAUCUGUGGUUUUGGGAAGUUGAAUGAGGAUUAAUGCUUGCUGUUAUAAUUUAUGUUUUUGUUAUCAAAUGGCAGUCUUUCAUGGUUAAAAGGAAUUCGUCUCUUUCUCCUGCAAUAGGGAUGUUUAUCCAGAAAUGUUAAAGGAAUCCGUCUGUUGCAGUGUUGGCUGCCAAGGGUUUCUUAGUAUCUCUCCAGAAUCUUGAUUCCUGUAUCACACUUCCGGAAUUUCUCUUUUUUUUCAUCAGUAGUAGUAAUUUUUUAUAUGUAGUAUUAGCAAAAUCAUGGUCCCAACCCCCCACCCCCUCUCCUCGUAAUGCGGCUCUUGUAGAUUAGGAGCUGAUCUUAGAACCAGCAAGAAGCAGCUAGCAGAAAUUAUUGAACAGAGAGUGGUGUAAAGAAGGGAGGAGAGGAUUCUGUUAUCUGUUUAAUGGCAGCAACAUCUCUUAGUUGCCAUCCCAGGGUAACAAUUCUGCUUCUUAUCUUCAAUUUAAGCAGCUAGUGGUCCAGGUGUUGCUGCAAUGGAAGAGCUUGAAUUGCAGACUCACGAGGCUCGAGCAAGGGAAGCAGGGGAGAUAAACAAGAGCUUACUCACACUCUGGCGUUGCAUAAACGGACUUGUGGAACAUUCUAGACAUAACCUUACAGGAAUAGAAAGUUGACCAGAUUGUUGAGAGACUUGUUAGGUGGAAAAACCAAAACAUGCAUCAAACUUGCUUACACAUCAAACUUGUAACAGAUGUGAAAGUGGCAAGGGAAAAGAAUGGUGUUUAUGUUCUACAUAAAAGAUUCGUCCAGGAAGAGGCGGAGAUAAAGGUCAGGUCUUGACAGACUUCUCUUUCUCUAGAUUCAGUUUACAACUACAGGUUCCUUAAUUACAUAGAUGAUAUCCUAACCAAUUACAAUGUCAUCUAUCAGUCUUUGUAAAACUUAUUAGACUGCAAAAUGAUUUGUCCCACCAAUAUUUUGUAAAAUUGGAAGUUUAUCUCCUUUCCUUUCUUCCGCGAUUCUGAAAGUUGUAUAAUUUAUCUUUAUGCCUGUACUCUGAUCCCCUGGUGCAGUCUAUACUUCUGUAGCACUACUAGUAGUGAAGUGUAAAGUGUUGAGUGUUUUGAGAAUUGUGGUAUAACAAGGAAGCAUGGGUUCUUCUUAGAAAUUGAAUUUGCAGGUGUAGAAGCUAUUGGAGGAACUUGGUAAAACAAAGCAAAGGUACCUCUCAACACCAGCAAAAAUGCAUAUGAAGUGUUUGAGACAAGUCCUUAAAGAAGCAGAGUUGGACCUAUGGUGUUUGGAAGUGGCCCAGUUCUGCAUCGACGUCAUUUACAUCAAGCAUUAACACAUAUGCAGGAUCCACAAAGUCUUACAGUGAAGGUGAAAUAGAGAAAGCAUUUAAUAACUUUCGUGAUAUGAGAAUACUCGGGGAAGAUUAGUACAGCGAGCCAGGAGCCAGUUAUUUUCAGUUGCUCGGUCGAGGAAGACUUUAUCCACAAUCAUCAGUCACCAACAACUUAUUAUUUGUGUAGAAAAUGCAGCUGUAAGCAUUUCAGUCACUAGUUUCUCACAUUCAUCAGUUACCAACAGCUUAUUCUCUUUGAAGAGUGACCUAGAGAACCGAUUUACUCCUAGGCUUGUCAUACCAGAGGUAAGAUCCGCGGGGAGAGAUUACUGAAAGAUACAAAUUGGUCCUGGAAAUUCUUCCAUUCAGAGAUCCGCGGGGAGAGAUUACUGAAAGAUACAAAUUGGUCCUGGAAAUUCUUCCAUUCAGAGGUCAUAUACUUGGCCAGUAUUAGUUAUUGUUCACCAAGCAUUGUGAUCUGUUGAUUCAUCGCACUAGAAUACUUAUAUGUGCUGCUGCAAUAGAAGUUUGGGCUGGCUGCCUGCAUCAAGAUCAACUGUGCAACAACUUCAGAAAAUUGAGAGUAUAAGUUGUGUGUAAUCCAUGUUGGAAAAUAGAAUACCGUAAGAAUUUGUUGUUGGAUUCAAUGGAGCAGCUGCCCAGUUUUGUGAUACUGGAAUUUUGAAAUAAAAAAUUGUAUUUUUUUUUAUUUCUCAGUAAAAUUUUUGCAACGUCUAUUGAGGUUGCUUUAAUUAUUCCGUUGCACAAAUUAGAAUAUGCGUAGCACAAAUUGGAAAAUAAAACGUUGCACCGACUAAGGUGCAACUUUG